CAGCCCUUUGAGGUGGUGGGGCUGGUACAGGGAAGGAGGUGCGAUUGGUGAGAUGGGGCCACCACUGUGCUUAAAGCUUCCGACUGCCAUCACUGCGAGCAGAGGAGGAGGUGUCAGCACACGGUGAGCUGUGUGCCCCGACCAUGCAGCCCCUCCAGCGCGCUCUCCUGCUCGCCCUGCUGUUCCUCUGCGUGGCCCUUGGCCACGCAGACAAGGGGGUCGGCAUCACCCCGCACACCACGCUGAAGCCCCCCGAGAGGAGCCUGAGCCCGCCCUGCAGCAGCCCGACCCUGCUCUCCCUCACGCUGGGGCUGGCCGCAGCCUUCUUCCUGCGGCUGCUCUGAUCGGGCAGCGCGCUCCUCGCACCCAGCCGCGCUCGGCCCCUCGCAGCGCGGGCACCAGCCCAUAUGAAGCCAUGACCCCCGUCCCUGCCGCGCUCCCCGCGCCCUCCCGCCUCGGAGCCAAGCCCCGCCGCUGCCCCGGCUGGAAGCGAGGCCCCGGGGGCAGCUCGGCAGCGGCGGCUCCGAGCAAUAAAGCGCUUGUGUAGCGGG